rnacentral:rRNA from 1 species
ACACCGGCAGCUCUAGUGGUAGCAAUUUUUAUUGGGCCUAAAGCGUCCGUAGCCGGUUUAAUAAGUCUCUGGUGAAAUCCUGCAGCUUAACUGUGGGAAUUGCUGGAGAUACUAUUAGACUUGAGAUCGGGAGAGGUUAGAGGUACUCCCAGGGUAGAGGUGAAAUUCUGUAAUCCUGGGAGGACCGCCUGUUGCGAAGGCGUCUAACUGGAACGAUUCUGACGGUGAGGGUCGAAAGUUAGGGGCGCGAACCGGAUUAGAUACCCGGGUAGUCCUAACUGUAAACGAUGCGGACUUGGUGUUGGGGUGGCUUUGAGCUGCUCCAGUGCCGAAGGGAAGCUGUUAAGUCCGCCGCCUGGGAAGUACGGUCGCAAGACUGAAACUUAAAGGAAUUGACGGGG